UGUCUUUUCCCUUGUUUGCGCAAACGCUCUGUGUGUGUUUGUGUGCCUCAUAAUGUGUUUAUGCAUGGAUCCCCGGGAGUAUUUCUGGCAGUCUGACCUCGCCAUGCAGGACAGGCCGUCAUCUGUGUUUGGCGUCAGAAGAAUGUGUUUCACAAGGACGCCUUUAACGACCCUAUCUGUGUGUAACAGAAGAAAAAAACAAAAGCUUCUUGAUAUGCAAUAAGAAUCAGAGGAAAGAACACAGAAUGGACUUCAAAGACACAGACAGAGCUUCCUAUAUUGUAUUUCUGCCCACAUGAUACCAAUUAUUUAGAAGCAGAAACAGAUUAAUGAAAACCAAAUAAAUAAUGGAAACAAAACCUAAAUAAAUAAACCUCACUCUGUUA